rnacentral:rRNA from 1 species
AUUGAACGCUUGCGGCAGGCUUAACACAUGCAAGUCGAGCGAGCGGCGGACGGGUGCGUAAUGUCUGGGCAACUGCCUGAUGGCGGGGGAUAACUACUGGAAACGGUAGCUAAUACCGCAUACCAUCAGAUGUGCCCAGGUGGGAUUAGCUUGUUGGUGGGGUAACGGCUCACCAAGGCGACGAUCCCUAGCUGGUCUGAGAGGAUGACCAGCCACACGGGAACUGAGACACGGUCCAGACUCCUACGGGAGGCAGCAGUGGGGAAUAUGGGACAAUGGGAGCAAGCCUGAUGCAGCCAUGCCGGGUGUAUGAAGAAGGCCUUCGGGUUGUAAAGUACUUUCAUCGGGGAGGCGUUACCCGCAGAAGAAGCACCGGCUAACUCCGUGCCAGCAGCCGCGGUAAUUC